rnacentral:lncRNA from 1 species
CCCUAGAACUCAAAGUAUAAUAAAAAAAUUGUGUUCCUAACUUCUGUGUUUCUUUAUCUAUGUACUUAUUCUGUCCACUUACUUUAGUCUGUGUUUUUUAAAAGGAUCACAACUGCCUUGAGAAGAGGCUUUGGAAUGGGAAAGUCCAGAUUCUUCUUAAUUGUUGUCUCAUCACUGAGUCCCUAUCAGAAGUCUGAGUUUCUUGAAGAUACUCAUUCAGUGUGGAAAGAACCAAAUAGAUAUUGGCCUGUCAAAAUAAAUAAAAAGGCUCUGCUUCUUGAUAGCAGUUGAAAAGGAUGUUUUCCAUCAUAGUAGAUGGGACAUGCAGUUCAUGGCUGAAUGGAAUGACUGGGAAUGAUCUUGCUGAAUGGAAUAAGAUCUACAAUUUAGAAAUCUAUCACAGUCAGGUUCUUGCUUUUGCAAGCUGUUUCUGUGUCUUUUCCAGGAAAAAUAACUGUGAUAAAAAACCAGUGUAGAUUGUUCAGGAAUAAUGAAUUCAAAACUGGAAACAAAAACAGCCUUUUCGACUGUUAUAUAUUCAAUGUGUGCAACAGGAGAGCAUUUAUUUGAUAUUUGAUAUUCUUGUUAACUCUGUUAUAUUUUCCUCUGAGCAAACAGCACCACUUGGAAUUACAACUCUGUUUAUUUUGGUAUCCACUACUAAAAUGUAUCCUCCAUGAGAACAGAAAACUUGUGUAUCUUAUUAACUACUUUAUUUCUAGUAUCAAGAAUAGGACUUGGUACAGGUACUAAUCAAUUCAUUGACGCAUUCAACAUGUAGUAUUCAGGGGCUACUAUGUGCCAGGCAGUGUUCUAGGUGCUGAAGGUAUAAUAGUGAAUAAAUAGACAAGAAUCACUGCCCUUACAGAACUUACAUUAUAGCGGGAAAGAUGGGCCAUAAACAACGUAUUAUUACAUAAAAUGCAUACUGUGUUUGAAAGUGAUAACUGCUAAGGAGAAAAAAAUAGCAGAGAAAGAGGAUAGAUAGGAUGCAGAAGCGGGGAGAGUUGAACGUAUGGACAAAGUGGUCAGGGAAGGUCUCUCUCACUGAAAAGGUGACAUUUACUGAAUUUGUAAGUGAAACCCCCAAACCCCUAAAGUCAUCAAGCCAAAGCAAUGGUGCAUUUGGAAUUCAGCCUGCAUAGGUCUUCCGGCCCCUGCUUUCUAUGGAACUGCUUUUAUCAUGCCAAUUCCUUGUUUUAAAACUUAUGGUUCCUUUCCCUUGCUAUCACAUCCAGACUCAUUCAUCUGGCUUUUAAGAUCCUCACAAGAACAUUAAUUCUUCCAUUUCUCCAGAUAGACCUUCUAGGCAGGUCCGGCUGGUUUCUGUUUCCUGCACAAUAUCAUGCUGUAACAUAAUAACAUGAUAUAAUAAUGAAACUUGAUGCUUUUGUGUGCUACUUCCCCUGCCUGCAGCCACAGUCUGCAAGUCAGAUGUCAGCUGAUCCCCAAGCUCAUACUCUUUGUGUCCCAGGUACAUGGCUUCCUUUCCACAUCCUCACUACUUCUCCUCUAGUAUUGUUUUGAGAAUAAAAUGAGAUAGCCUCAAAAUGAGAAUCUGUGUUUUAACAUAAUAAAUAAAUAAAUACCAAAGAGAGUUAAAAAUGCCAGUUGACACAUAAUUGCUACAUAAUUUUACAAGUUUUCGCUAACAUGGAUAACAAUGAUGACAAUGAAUUAUAUUGGUUUAUUAUAUAAAAUCCCUGCUUAAAAUGCAAAACACUUAUAAAUGUAAAACAUGAAACAAUACCCAGCAAAAUUUAAGGUGCUCAAGUAAUCUGGCUUGGUCUAAGCAAACCCAUUUGAAGAAUGAAUGUAAGAGUUGGGUUUGAAUGUGUACAGAGAAGUGCUCAGGGUUCACUAGUCAUGGAAACUUCUUGACACACAGACCUCUGCAUUCAGCUUCUUGUUACUCCAGUUCCUGGGAAACUAUUUGAAGCUGCCUAAAUAAAUGGGUAAUAUUGUGAAGCUGCUUGGCUGCAGUCAGUACAUGGGAAUGAGCCUCACUUAAAUUGACCAGGCAGGGUUUCCAAGUCAUCAUUAAAAUGACCACUAAUGACUCUGCUGACCUGGCUACCAUGCUAAUGAAUUCACAGUGUGCCCAUCCACAACCGAGAAAAGGGCUGCCUUACAGGAAGUGCUAAUUAUAGCCGUGAAUGAAUAAAAGUUAUUUGUAAGGGUGAGGAAGAGACAUUGUAAAAUCCAUGUGAGUGUUCCUUUUAAAGUUAUCUUCUCAAGAAAUUAAUGUCAAUGCUGACACUAUGGAAAAUAAUCCGGUGUAAUAGUUUUGAUAAUACGAAUCUAUGUGGUUUAAAUUUUCCAUGCUUUGUUUGGAAGGCUCUGUUUAUGCAAGAAAGUGAGCUAUGACAAAGGUUGAAAACACAUUAAAAGGUGUUUGACAACAUUUGUCUGGCCGGAAUCAUUUUUCCGUAAAAAGGUUGUAAAUUUAUUAGGCAAAUAAUGACUUAACCAUUGCAAUUUUCUAUGACUAUAUGAUAAUAACCAUUACAUUAUCUGAAAAUGAAAAAUAGAAACUCUGGAGUACAUUUAUUUAAGUAUGAUUAUUGGGAACUAAAGUAAGAAAGGAUAAAAAUAAGCUUAAACUUAUUUUUCCCUGGAAACAAAAAGCUAUUUUUUUGUUAACCUUGGGUCAUGCAGCAUAAAAAGCUAUUUCAAAGUACUAUAUUUGCUAAUAAAAAUCAAUUAUGAAUUUGGUUACUUUCAACUGAUUAGACCUACAUGAUUCACUUGUUUUAAAAAACUUGGAAAGGCUUUCUGAGCGCAUUCACAUUUCAUGGAAAAUCUCAGUGCAGCUCUUUGUUACACGUAUAUACAAGAGGACCCAUCACUUAUUGUGUGAGGAGAAUGUUUUAAAGCAGUCAUAAGAACUUGCAACCAAACUGAGCCAGGUUAUGCUACAGGGCCGUGGAGUGGGGAAUUGCUACUGAUUUUGUCCACUUGAUUUGGCUUACAGAAAUAAAGCAGUGAAGUGACUAAAACAGCAGAAAACAAAAUCUUCUUGAGUAAAGUACUCUUGGCAGUAGACUUUAUGAUGUGGUACAACAUCAGGAAAAAAUAAACCCAGCAGACAGAUGGUCUCCAGAGAGAAAUAACCAUAAACUCUGAAACUACUACACAUGAAAGUACCUGCCCAAGGAAUAGAGAAGACAGAUGUUUCUCUAGGGAUUGACCUACAAUGGCACUUGUUGCUCUUGGUGACCAGAGCUAAAAGAAAGCUGAAAGCCAGCAUCAGUGUGUGAAGUCACUGAAGUAUUUUAUAGAUCAGAAAAGUUGGCAAGCGAUGGACACUAGACAACACAAACUUCCUCUCUCCAAAAAUAUAUUCACAGUCAGCUUUAAAGCUGUAGUCACUCCUCUGGGGUCUGAUAAAAUGAGCAUCAGUUGAUCGGAAGAGUAUUUGAUCUUUGUCUUUCCUGUUUAAUGUUGCUUGGUGGAAAACCGUAAUUCAAAGAAAAGCAAUAGAAAACUAACCAGAAUAAACAUGGCCAUUCUUGAUAGACAUGUUGACUGAUGGACUGAGAGAUAUAGAUACAUGCCAUGAGAUCUCUUUAUGAGCAGUGGUCUUAUGGAUAUCUGCAUGACCUCUGCUGAAGUAAAAUACUGUGGUUCGUGAGAAGACGUGACCUUUGGAUACAGCUGGUCUAGUCCUGGCUCUGCUGUGUCAGUGAAAGUGGAACAGUUACAUGGCUCUCCCGAAUCUCUGUUUUCACUUGGUUAAAUGAGGGUUACAUGUACUUACUUCCAGUGUUGUUAUGAGAAUUAAAUGAGAUUAAAUGUUAAAAUUUGUGAGCGGUCAAUAUAUGUACUUCUUUUCUCCCCCUCAGUCUCUUAAGAAUAUUCUACACCAGUAUUGCAGAAUAAAGAAAAAUGGAUAUGUUAAUUUGUUUGAUAUAAUCAUUCCACAAUGUAUACAUAUAUCAGGUG